rnacentral:rRNA from 1 species
CCUACGGGAGGCAGCAGUGAGGAAUAUUGGUCAAUGGGCGCGAGCCUGAACCAGCCAAGUAGCGUGAAGGAUGAAUGCCCUACGGGUUGUAAACUUCUGUUAUAAAGGAAUAAAGUGAGGCACGUGUGCCUUUUUGUAUGUACGUUAUGAAUAAGGAUCGGCUAACUCCGUGCCAGCAGCCGCGGUAAUACGGAGGAUCCGAGCGUUAUCCGGAUUUAUUGGGUUUAAAGGGAGCGUAGAUGGGUUUUUAAGUCAGUUGUGAACGUUUGCGGCUCAACCGUAAAAUUGCAAUUGAUACUGGCAGUCUUGAGUACCGUUGCGGUAGGCGGAAUUCGUGGUGUAGCGG